UACAGAGGUCCCAAGCGUUAGGCGGAAUCACUGGGCUUAAAGCGCGUGUAGGCGGAUCGUUAAGUGUCUUGUGAAAUCCCACGGCUCACCCGUGGAACUGCUGGGCAUACUGGCGAUCUUGGGCCAACUAGGGGCAGCCGGAACAAGCGGUGGAGCGGUGAAAUGCGUAGAUAUCGCUUGGAACGCCGAAGGUGAAAACAGGCUGCUGGGGUUGCGCCGACGCUGAGACACGAAAGCCAGGGGAGCAAACGGG
rnacentral:rRNA from 1 species